GACGAACGCUGGCGGCGUGCCUAAUACAUGCAAGUAGGACGCAGUUGCGAACGGGUGAGUAAUGAGUAGGUAACUGCCUAUUAGAGGGGGAUAACUAUUGGAAAAGAUAGGCAAUACCGCAUACUAGUAGAUGGACCUGCGUUGUAUUAGCUAGUAGGUAGGGUAAUGGCCUACCUAGGCGACGAUACAGAGCCGACCUGAGAGGGUGAUCGGCCACACUGGGACUGCGACACGGCCCAGACUCCUACGGGAGGCAGCAGUAGGGAAUCUUCGGCAAUGGGGGGAACCCUGACCGAGCAACGCCGCGUGAGUGAAGAAGGUUUUCGGAUCGUAAAGCUCUGUUGUUAAGGAAGCGGUACUUAACCAGAAAGGGACGGCUAACUCCGUGCCAGCAGCCGCGGUAAUUC
rnacentral:rRNA from 1 species